rnacentral:sRNA from 1 species
UGGUGGGAGUACAGGACUCGCCUCCUCAGGGUUCCCUGUGCUGCCACUUUUCAGCCAUGGCCACAAGUGAACAGAGUAUCUGCCAAGCCCGGGCUUCCGUGAUGGUCUACGAUGACACCAGUAAGAAAUGGGUACCAAUCAAACCUGGCCAGCAGGGAUUCAGCCGGAUCAACAUCUACCACAACACUGCCAGCAACACCUUCAGAGUCGUUGGAGUCAAGCUGCAGGAUCAGCAGGUUGUGAUCAAUUAUUCAAUCGUGAAAGGGCUGAAGUACAAUCAGGCCACGCCAACCUUCCACCAGUGGCGAGAUGCCCGCCAGGUCUACGGCUUAAACUUUGCAAGUAAAGAAGAGGCGACCACGUUCUCCAAUGCAAUGCUGUUUGCCCUGAACAUCAUGAAUUCCCAAGAAGGAGGUAAGUAGGGCUUUGUCUUGGCCUGAUGCCGAGACCCUCUCUUGUUCUACCUCUGCCCUCCCACAGCUCUGGCUCUCCGGGUAUCCU